GACGAACGCUGGCGGCGUGCUUAACACAUGCAAGUCGAACGGAAAGGCCCUGCUUUUGUGGGGCGCUCGAGUGGCGAACGGGUGAGUAACACGUGAGUAACCUGCCCUUGACUUUGGGAUAACUUCAGGAAACUGGGGCUAAUACCGGAUAGGAGCUCCUGCUGCAUGGUGGGGGUUGGAAAGUUUCGGCGGUUGGGGAUGGACUCGCGGCUUAUCAGCUUGUUGGUGGGGUAGUGGCUUACCAAGGCUUUGACGGGUAGCCGGCCUGAGAGGGUGACCGGCCACAUUGGGACUGAGAUACGGCCCAGACUCCUACGGGAGGCAGCAGUGGGGAAUAUUGCACAAUGGGCGGAAGCCUGAUGCAGCAACGCCGCGCGCGGGAUGACGGCCUUCGGGUUGUAAACCGCUUUCGCCUGUGACGAAGCGUGAGUGACGGUAAUGGGUAAAGAAGCACCGGCUAACUACGUG
rnacentral:rRNA from 1 species